CGUGAAGCAUUUUCAGCAGGAUGGAGGGUGUUUGCGCUUCACAACUUAUUUUAUCAGUUGGAAACACACACAGGAAUUCCGGCUUGGGAAUGACCGUCCAGUUCCCGGCCUCAACAGGAAGGUAUGCAUAAAAAGCACUUCCAAAACGGGCAGGCUAUACCAUUCCUCUCCAUUCGGCAGCAACGGAACAGAAGGGAAAUACAUAUUUGUAGCCUAUACUGUGAUGAAACUAAUAUUGGGAGAUGGUCGCGAUGGCAAAAUAGCCCAACAAGUCAGUCAAGUGAAUAGAGGUGAUGUGGCAGCUGCAACCAGGUAGACUCAAGAGGCUUGGCAUUGUGUUCUCCAUUCUAUGAUAGAUGGAAGCUACAAUCUCACACCCCAACCUCAAUGCCCAAUGGAAUUUUACAAUAUUGUACAAUGGGAUAUAGAGGAUUGUUGGCUUCUCAUAGCCAAAUCAAACCUGGGAUUUUUUCCCCCACAGAUAAACCGAAGAUAAGAGUUUCUGCCUGCUUCACGGUCCAUUAUUACUUUUGGUACGCGCUCGGCCAGUCUCAAACUCGUACCGUGAGUAAUAAUGCACUGUGGCUGUCACUGCCAACGAGAGACGGAGAGCACCACAGUUCUCCAUAAUCCUAUGCAUCUCAUCGUUGUAUAGACAGAUGUGAAGCAGGAAAUGUGAUGAAAACUCAGCCCUUGUGUCAGAAUGACAGCAUUUAAAUAUAAUAAUUUAGGAUACUUUCAUAUCCAGGGAAGAAAUUGACUAGCCAGUUUACUUAAAUAUUAUUGUUGAAUUAUUUACUUUAAAUGUGUUGUUGAAUGUUACACUGACAUUUGAACAUUUUAACUCUAAAUGGUAAAUCUUAUUUAUACUUGCAAAAGAAAUUCCCUGUGUCUUGUGACUGUUAUAUUUAUGUUGACUGCAUAUGUCUUGUUUUAGUACAAUGAAACAGUCAUAUUAGGCUACAGCCUAUUAUUAUGUCUUAAUUUUUUGUAGGAAAAACUUUUUUUUCUCAAAUAUAAAGAAAUGGGCCUGUAAUUGAAUAAAGUUCAGAAACAUUAUAGCCAACUCUCCUAGUUGGACAUGUUUUGAAAUAGGCACUUCAAUGUAAUUGUCUGUUUAAUAAAUGAUCAUUACAAUUGACAACUCAAUUCUACACUAAGAGACGAAAUUGAAUACACAAUCAGUCUCUGAACAAAGCGACCCUGAUGCACCCAUUGACAAGUUUUUUAAUAGAGAGGCUAUGUCAUAAACCCUCAAAGUUCCAGAAUGCGGUGAAAAUGGCAGUUAUUGUGGUUAGGGAGAAAUCCAAACCUAUUGUGGUUAGGGAGAAAUCCAAACCUAUUGUGGUUAGGGAGAUAUCCAAACCUAUUGUGGUUAGGGAGAUAUCCAAACCUAUUGUGGUUAGGGAGAUAUCCAAACCUAUUGUGGUUAGGGAGAUAUCCAAACCUAUUGAGGUUAGGGAGAAAUCCAAACCUAUUGUGGUUAGGGAGAAAUCCAAACCUAUUGUGGUUAGGGAGAUAUCAAAACCUAUUGUGGUUAGGGAGAUAUCCAAACCUAUUGUGGUUAGGGAGAAAUCCAAACCUAUUGUGGUUAGGGAGAAAUCCAAACCAAUUGGAAUGAAUGGCAGAAGUGAUGCAUUACCUGAUUUUACUUAUACAGAAAAAUAAAAGUAAGACAUGGGAUGUAUCUGAAA